GAUGAAGAACGCAGCGAAAUGCGAUAAGUAAUGCGAAUUGCAGAAUUUCCGUGAAUCAUCGAAUCUUUGAACGCACAUUGCGCCCGCUGGUAUUCCGGCGGGCAUGCCUGUUCGAGCGUCAUUUCAACCCUCAAGCCCCCGGGUUUGGUGUUGGGGAUCGGCUCUGCCUUCUGGCGGUGCCGCCCCCGAAAUACAUUGGCGGUCUCGCUGCAGCCUCCAUUGCGUAGUAGCUAACACCUCGCAACUGGAACGCGGCGCGGCCAUGCCGUAAAACCCCAACUUCUGAAUGUUGACCUCGGAUCAGGUAGGAAUACCCGCUGAACUUAAGCAUAUCAAUAAGCGGAGGA
rnacentral:misc_RNA from 1 species